AACGAACGCUGGCGGCAGGCUUAACACAUGCAAGUCGAGCGCCCCGCAAGGGGAGCGGCAGACGGGUGAGUAACGCGUGGGAAUCUACCGUGCCCUACGGAAUAGCUCCGGGAAACUGGAAUUAAUACCGUAUACGCCCUUCGGGGGAAAGAUUUAUCGGGGUAUGAUGAGCCCGCGUUGGAUUAGCUAGUUGGUGGGGUAAAGGCCUACCAAGGCGACGAUCCAUAGCUGGUCUGAGAGGAUGAUCAGCCACAUUGGGACUGAGACACGGCCCAAACUCCUACGGGAGGCAGCAGUGGGGAAUAUUGGACAAUGGGCGCAAGCCUGAUCCAGCCAUGCCGCGUGAGUGAUGAAGGCCCUAGGGUUGUAAAGCUCUUUCACCGGUGAAGAUAAUGACGGUAACCGGAGAAGAAGCCCCGGCUAACUUCGUGCCAGCCGCCGCUGUAAUAC
rnacentral:rRNA from 1 species